rnacentral:rRNA from 1 species
AUUGAACGCUGGCGGCAGGCCUAACACAUGCAAGUCGAGCGAGUGGCGGACGGGUGAGUAAUGCUUGGGAAUCUAGCUUAUGGAGGGGGAUAACUACGGGCAACUGUAGCUAAUACCGCGUACCAUAGGCUGAGCCCAAGUGGGAUUAGGUAGUUGGUGAGGUAAAGGCUCACCAAGCCGACGAUCUCUAGCUGGUCUGAGAGGAUGACCAGCCACACUGGGACUGAGACACGGCCCAGACUCCUACGGGAGGCAGCAGUGGGGAAUAUUGCGCAAUGGGGGCAACCUGACGCAGCCAUGCCGCGUGAAUGAAGAAGGCCUUCGGGUUGUAAAGUUCUUUCGGUAGCGAGGCGUUAACUACAGAAGAAGCACCGGCUAACUCCGUGCCAGCAGCCGCGGUAAUUC